GGGAAGUCUUGGAGAUGGGUGAGUUGGGAAAAUAAUAACUUUCUUCACGAAAGAAAGCAAUUUUUUUCCCACACCUCCCAUCCCUAAGAUUUUC
rnacentral:pre_miRNA from 1 species